rnacentral:rRNA from 1 species
GAUGAACGCUGGCGGCGUGCCUAAUACAUGCAAGUCGAGCGAACAGACGAGGAGCUUGCUCCUCUGACGUUAGCGGCGGACGGGUGAGUAACACGUGGAUAACCUACCUAUAAGACUGGGAUAACUUCGGGAAACCGGAGCUAAUACCGGAUAAUAUAUUGAACCGCAUGGUUCAAUAGUGAAAGACGGUUUUGCUGUCACUUAUAGAUGGAUCCGCUCCGCAUUAGCUAGUUGGUAAGGUAACGGCUUACUAAGGCAACGAAGCGUAGCCGACCUGAGAGGGUGAUCGGCCACACGGGAACUGAGACACGGUCCAGACUCCUACGGGAGGCAGCAGUAGGGAAUCUUCCGCAAUGGGCGAAAGCUUGACGGAGCAACGCCGCGUGAGUGAUGAAGUUCUUCGGAUCGUAAAACUCUUUUAUUAUGGAAGAACAAAUGUGUAAGUAACUAUGCACGUCUUGACGGUACCUAAUCAGAAAGCCACGGCUAACUACGUG